rnacentral:rRNA from 1 species
UACAGAGGAUGCAAGCGUUAUCCGGAAUGAUUGGGCGUAAAGCGUCUGUAGGUGGCUUUUUAAGUCCGCCGUCAAAUCCCAGGGCUCAACUCUGGACAGGCGGUGGAAACUACCAAGCUGGAGUACGGUAGGGGCAGAGGGAAUUUCCGGUGGAGCGGUGAAAUGCGGUAGAUAUCAGGAGGAACACCGGUGGUGUAAACGGCUUUCUGGACCAUAACUGACGCUGAGGCACGAAAGCGUGGGUAGCAAACAGG